AACGGAGAAGACUAACAGGAUUCCCCUAGUAACUGCGAGUGAAGCGGGAAAAGCUCAAAUUUAAAAUCUGGCAGCUUUGGCUGUCCGAGUUGUAGUCUGGAGAAGCGUUUUCUGUGCUGGACCGUGUACAAGUCUCUUGGAACAGAGCGUCGUAGAGGGUGAGAAUCCCGUCUUUGACACGGACUCCCAGUGCUUUGUGAUGCGCUCUCAAAGAGUCGAGUUGUUUGGGAAUGCAGCUCAAAAUGGGUGGUAAAUUCCAUCUAAAGCUAAAUAUUGGCGAGAGACCGAUAGCGAACAAGUACCGUGAGGGAAAGAUGAAAAGCACUUUGGAAAGAGAGUUAAACAGUACGUGAAAUUGCUGAAAGGGAAACGAUUGAAGUCAGUCGCGUCGGCCAGAACUCAGCCUGGCUUUUGCCUGGUGCAUUUUCUGGUUGACGGGCCAGCAUCAAUUUUGACCGCUGGAUAAAGGCCUCGGGAAUGUGGCACCUUCGGGUGUGUUAUAGCCCUUGGUUGUAUACAGUGGUUGGGAUUGAGGAUCACAGCAUGCCUUUAUGGCCGGGGUUCGCCCACGUUCAUGCUUAGGAUGCUGGCGUAAUGGCUUUAAACGACCCGUCUUGAAACACGGACCAAGGAGUCUAACAUGCCUGCGAGUGUUUGGGUGGAAAACCCGAGCGCGCAAUGAAAGUGAAAGUUGGGAUCCCUGUCGCGGGGAGCACCGACGCCCGGACCAGACCUUCUGUGACGGAUCCGCGGUAGAGCAUGUAUGUUGGGACCCGAAAGAUGGUGAACUAUGCCUGAAUAGGGUGAAGCCAGAGGAAACUCUGGUGGAGGCUCGUAGCGAUUCUGACGUGCAAAUCGAUCGUCAAAUUUGGGUAUAGGGGCGAAAGACUAAUCGAACCAUCUAGUAGCUGGUUCCUGCCGAAGUUUCCCUCAGGAUAGCAGAAACUCAUGUCAGAUUUAUGUGGUAAAGCGAAUGA
rnacentral:rRNA from 1 species